AGGACGAACGCUGGCGGCGUGCUUAACACAUGCAGGUCGAGCGGUAAGGCCUUUCGGGGUACACGAGCGGCGAACGGGUGAGUAACACGUGGGUGAUCUGCCCUGCACUUCGGGAUAAGCCUGGGAAACUGGGUCUAAUACCGGAUAUGACCUCAGGUUGCAUGACUUGGGGUGGAAAGAUUUAUCGGUGCAGGAUGGGCCCGCGGCCUAUCAGCUUGUUGGUGGGUAAUGGCCUACCAAGGCGACGACGGGUAGCCGACCUGAGAGGGUGACCGGCCACACUGGGACUGAGACACGGCCCAGACUCCUACGGAGGCAGCAGUGGGGAAUAUUGCACAAUGGGCGAAAGCCUGAUGCAGCGACGCCGCGUGAGGAUGGACGGCCGUUCGGGUUUGUAAACCUUCGUUUCAGUCCGAGGGACGAAGGCGACGAAGUCGACGGUACCUAGCAAGAAGAAGCCGAACCGGACUAACCUACGGUCG
rnacentral:rRNA from 1 species